CUCCACCACCUGCGGGGCCGGGGGGCGGCGAGGAACCCGACCGGCCCUGCUACGCUUGCGCCCACCUUCCAGAUGUGGAGGCGCGUGCUCCCAGAUGUUGCCGGGGUGGCUUCGUGAAUUUCCAAUGGUGAGAUUCCAGGCACUGACUAGCUGAAGGCCUCAGCAGAAGUUUUUGUAGGGCACAAGAGGAAGUGACCACUACCCAACAGCAGAACAGUCACUGUUCUUCAGUGGUGGGGAGAAGUGUUCUGCCAACGGCCUGGAAUUUGAGACAUUCCGAUGGGAGCUGCCUUGCCCUCUAGAGCAUAUGGUGGAAACGGGUGUGCACAGUCUCUGGGACCAGAGUGCCUGGCUGGAGUCGCAGCUCUACUACUUCCUCACCGUGUGACCUGGGGCAAGUGACUUCACCUCUUUUUAUAUCAACUGUCUCUUAAUAAAAUGAGGUUGUUG
rnacentral:lncRNA from 10 species